GGACCAGUGGCUUAAUGGUAAGCCCUCUGUUUGACACGCAGAAGGUCCCCAGUUCAAUUCUGGGCAUCUCCA
rnacentral:tRNA from 1 species